CCUACGGGAGGCAGCAGUGAGGAAUAUUGGUCAAUGGCCGAGAGGCUGAACCAGCCAAGUCGCGUGAGGGAAGAAUGUCCUAUGGAUUGUAAACCUCUUUUGUCAGGGAGCAAAGGCACCCACGUGUGGGUGGAGGGGAGUACCUGAAGAAAAAGCAUCGGCUAACCUCGUGCCAGAAGCCGCGGUAAUACGGAGGAUGCGAGCGUUAUCCGGAUUUAUUGGGUUUAAAGGGUGCGUAGGCGGGUUAUCAAGGCAGCGGUAAAAUGGUGGAGCUCAACUCCAUCCAGCCGUUGAAACUGGUGAUCUUGAGUGGGCGAGAAGUAUGCGGAAUGCGUGGUGUAGCGGUGAAAUGCAUAGAUAUCACGCAGAACUCCGAUUGCGAAGGCAGCAUACCGGCGCCCAACUGACGCUGAAGCACGAAAGCGUGGGUAUCGAACAGGAUUAGAUACCCUUGUAGUC
rnacentral:rRNA from 1 species